rnacentral:rRNA from 1 species
UUCUUGGUCAUUUAGAGGAAGUAAAAGUCGUAACAAGGUUUCCGUAGGUGAACCUGCGGAAGGAUCAUUAAAGAAAUUUAAUAAUUUUGAAAAUGGAUUUUUUUGCUUUGGCAAGAGCAUGAGAGCUUUUACUGGGCAAGAAGACAAGAGAUGGAGAGUCCAGCCGGGCCUGCGCUUAAGUGCGCGGUCUUGCUAGGCUUGUAAGUUUCUUUCUUGCUAUUCCAAACGGUGAGAGAUUUCUGUGCUUUUGUUAUAGGACAAUUAAAACCGUUUCAAUACAACACACUGUGGAGUUUUCAUAUCUUUGCAACUUUUUCUUUGGGCAUUCGAGCAAUCGGGGCCCAGAGGUAACAAACACAAACAAUUUUAUCUAUUCAUUAAAUUUUUGUCAAAAACAAGAAUUUUCGUAACUGGAAAUUUUAAAAUACUAAAAACUUUCAACAACGGAUCUCUUGGUUCUCGCAUCGAUGAAGAACGCAGCGAAAUGCGAUACGUAAUGUGAAUUGCAGAAUUCCGUGAAUCAUCGAAUCUUUGAACGCACAUUGCGCCCCUUGGUAUUCCAGGGGGCAUGCCUGUUUGAGCGUCAUUUCCUUCUCAAACAUUCUGUUUGGUAGUGAGUGAUACUCUUUGGAGUUAACUUGAAAUUGCUGGCCUUUUCAUUGGAUGUUUUUUUUCCAAAGAGAGGUUUCUCUGCGUGCUUGAGGUAUAAUGCAAGUACGGUCGUUUUAGGUUUUACCAACUGCGGCUAAUCUUUUUUUAUACUGAGCGUAUUGGAACGUUAUCGAUAAGAAGAGAGCGUCUAGGCGAACAAUGUUCUUAAAGUUUGACCUCAAAUCAGGUAGGAGUACCCGCUGAACUUAAGCAUAUCAAUAAGCGGAGGAA